rnacentral:lncRNA from 1 species
AUAAUGCUUCUUACAUAAGAUGAUAAUCCAUUUUCAGUGUUGCUUCACGUCACAGCAGCUGCACUAUUUAACUAAGAUUCUGGCAAGGAUGGAAAUGGAAAACAACUUUUUCAUGUUUCCACGAAGUUAAUGGAAGGCUGGGUCACAACAGCUAAAGUUACCUGCUGGAUGGAGCCUCUCAGAGUACAGUGAUGCCAGGCUCCUGCCUGUGAAUCCAGGCUGACUGAUACCGACAUAACCUGAGGCUCCUAAGUUGUUGAAGGAGGAUUGACGGCCUGCGAUAUGUCCCUAUUGAUCCUCUAAGGACAGCUUAGCACUCCCGACCCCUCCAAAUUGACUUGUUAAAUCUGCUUAAG